rnacentral:rRNA from 1 species
AGUCUGGUGCCAGCAGCCGCGGUAAUUCCAGCUCCAAUAGCGUAUAUUAAACUUGUUGCAGUUAAAAAGCUCGUAGUUGAAUUUCUGCGUCACCGUAUUUUGACUUUUGUCGACUGUCGGUUUCGCUUUUGGGAUUUAUCCCUUUUUACUUUGAGAAAAUUAGAGUGUUUCAAGCAGACUUUUGUCUUGAAUACUUCAGCAUGGAAUAAUAGAGUAGGACUUUGGUUCUAUUUUGUUGGUUUGUGAACCUUAGUAAUGGUUAAUAGGAACGGUUGGGGGCAUUCGUAUUUAACUGUCAGAGGUGAAAUUCUUAGAUUUGUUAAAGACGAACUACUGCGAAAGCAUUUGCCAAGGACGUUUUCAUUAAUCAAGAACGAAAGUUAGGGGAUCGAAGACGAUCAGAUACCGUCGUAGUCCUAACCAUAAACA